GGGCCCGUAGUCUAGCUGGUUAUGACGUCGCCCUUACAAGGCGGAGGUCUUGAGUUCGAAUCUCAACGGGCCCA
rfam:Thermoplasmatales archaeon DG-70 WOR1_52_54_2327, whole genome shotgun sequence.